AGAGUUUGAUCCUGGCUCAGAUUGAACGCUGGCGGCAGGCCUAACACAUGCAAGUCGAACGGUAACAGGAAGCAGCUUGCUGCUUUGCUGACGAGUGGCGGACGGGUGAGUAAUAUCUGGGAAACUGCCUGAUGGAGGGGGAUAACUACUGGAAACGGUAGCUAAUACCGCAUAACGUCGCAAGACCAAAGAGGGGGACCUUCGGGCCUCUUGCCAUCGGAUGUGCCCAGAUGGGAUUAGCUAGUAGGUGGGGUAACGGCUCACCUAUGCGACGAUCCCUAGCUGGUCUGAGAGGAUGACCAGCCACACUGGAACUGAGACACGGUCCAGACUCCUACGGGAGGCAGCAGUGGGGAAUAUUGCACAAUGGGCGCAAGCCUGAU
rnacentral:rRNA from 1 species